rnacentral:misc_RNA from 1 species
GACAGGUAGAGUGGCAUGUUUUUUUUGUAAUUUUAAACGAGUUAUGUUUAAUCUCUACCGUUGCUAGGUUUUACUAUAUAUGCGUUGCCAGAAAGAUUUUAAUUAAGUUUAAUGCAGAAAAAAAUAUUUUUUCCUCCUGACAUUCUCGACCGCUUCAUUACUGACGCGCAGUAUUUUUGUCUAUGCUACAAUUAUUGUAAGCCUGUAACUUAUCCGAAAAAUAAAAAUUAUUUUAUAUCUUAACCGGUCGAGGUCAUACCAGCGAUAUACUGUUGUUUCCAGUUUCAUGAUACUAGUC